rnacentral:pre_miRNA from 1 species
ACUUGAGCUGUCUGGGCAGAACUUUGGAAAAUGUUUUGUUCGUUCGGCUCGAGUCA